rnacentral:rRNA from 1 species
GACGAACGCUGGCGGCGUGCCUAAUACAUGCGAGUAGAACGCACAGUUUAUACCGUAGCUUGCUACACCAUAAACUGUGAGUUGCGAACGGGUGAGUAACGCGUAGGUAACCUGCCUGGUAGCGGGGGAUAACUAUUGGAAACGAUAGCUAAUACCGCAUAAUAUUGAUUAUUGCAUGAUAAUUGAUUGAAAGAUGCUAUUGCAUCACUACCAGAUGGACCUGCGUUGUAUUAGCUAGUAGGUGAGGUAACGGCUCACCUAGGCGACGAUACAUAGCCGAGCUGGGAGGGUGAUCGGCCACACUGGGACUGAGACACGGCCCAGACUCCUACGGGGGGCAGCAGGAGGGAAUCUUCGGCAAUGGACGAAAGUCUGACCGAGCAACGCCGCGGGAGUGAAGAAGGGUCUCGGAUCGUAAAGCUCUGUUGUAAGAGAAGAACGGGUGUGAGAGUGGAAAGUUCACACUGUGACGGUAUCUUAACAGAAAGGGACGGCUAACUACGUG